GCGACAGUCCCUACGACGUGAUCCUGCCCCGCGCCUCCACCUCCAGCCCAGCGGCCGGCAGCGCCAGCUCCACGCUGCGAGCCGAGGACGCCUUCGCGGCGCAGGCCCGGCACACCGGCGCCCAGCGGGACGGCAGGAGCUGCCAGGUGCAGUCCCCAUACGGCAGGAACCGGUGGUGAAGCCCCCGCCGUGGCACGGGUCCCGUGGCGCCGGCACAGCCACGGCCCCGCCGUCCCGCUCCCGAGGUCUCACCGAGCCUCCUCCUGCCCCGCCACAUACGUCCCACCCCGGCCGGUGGCCGGAGCCGGUUCCUGCGCGGGGGACGCCCGGACACGGUGCCGGAGCCAGCGCUCCUGCCUGCCCGUCCCACCUGGCCACGGCACCCGCAAGCUGCCAGCUCUGCCUGGAUGACCCCCGCAUCGCUGCCGCUGUCCCUGCCGCAAGGACCGGCUCCCACGGGGCCACCCCGAGUUGUCCCCUCGCUGCCUUCGUGACGCACAGACACCCCGUGUCAUCCCCCCCCCAACCCCCCAGGCCAGGGACCAUCCGUCACCGAGCCCCCCGGUUCCACGCUGACCCUCGCCAGCCCCAGGGACGUCGCAGACCCCAAGCUGACACCGUCCCGCUGCAGGGCACGAGGUGACACGAAGCUCCCCCCAGCUCUGGCUCCUGCUGUGCCUCAGUUUCCCUGUUGCUGGGGAACAGGGUGGGGGGGCUGCUCAGGGUCCAGGGGAUCAGUGCCUUGCUGGGGCUGGGCACACAGCCCCCCCGCGGCUCCGGCCGCCUUCUUGGUGCCUUCCCCCCUCGGGGAUCCCUCCUGGGGAGCAGGGAGGGAGCUGGGCCCCUCGCCCUCCUCGUGGCUUUCUCUGUUGUUUUCCCUCUUCCCCCUUUUUUUCAGGUCAGCCCCAAUAAAGGUGGUUUUUUCCUACGUGGGGCUGUAGCAGGCGACCCAUGAUGGGGAGGGGGCACCCAGCCACCCCACCGGCUGCUCCCCCACCCC
rnacentral:lncRNA from 1 species